rnacentral:rRNA from 1 species
AUACGAAAGGUGCAAGCGUUGUUCGGAUUUACUGGGCGUAAAGAGAGUGUAGGUUGUUUAUUAAGUCGGAUGUGAAAUCCCGGGGCUCAACCUCGGAACUGCAUUCGAUACUGGUAGACUAGAGUUCGGGAGGGGUAAGCGGAAUUCCGUGUGUAGUAGUGAAAUGCGUAGAUAUACGGAGGAACACCUGAGGCGAAGGCGGCUUACUGGACCGAUACUGACACUGAGACUCGAAAGCGUGGGUAGCAAACAGGAUUAGAUACCCUAGUAGUCC